AUGAUGAGAGGAGCCCAAUACAUGGCUUUUUAGGGUUUCACCUCUUUCUCUCUCAUCAAUCCCUCACUCCCUCUCUCUCUCCUCUCCUCCCCUCCCCGUCAUUCACCCUUCUCCUCCCCUCCCCGUCAUUCACCUCUCCUCUCCUUCCUUCCCCUCUCCAAUACUUGAGCAGCGAUUGCUAUCAUCUUGAGACGAGCAACUUGAUCGGCGGAACAAGAGCUCCCAAGCGGCGCCGUUUUUCGGCGGAGGUGUAACCGGCGGUGACGAUCAAUUUAGUUUUUCUUUCUCAGAUCUAUGAGUUGAUUUUGUAGAACGAAUUAGAAGAGAUUAUUAACAUAUUACCGGAGGUGUAACCGGCGGUGUCGUAGAGAACUCAUAAAUCUGAGCAAUUUAGUUUUUCUUUCUCAGAUCUAUGAGUUUAUUGACUUAGCGAGGUGGCGAGUCAACUCGGAUAAGAACUCGGCCAAGAAAUUAUUAAGCUUCUCGUCAUUGUUGUUGUCACCACGUUCAGUCUCAGUGGAGCUAAUCGGCGAGUCAAGGGACGAGUUAGGGUCAAACCUAACUACUGAAGAACAAUUCUUAGAUAAUUUGGGAUAUCUUUGCCAUUUUAGAUCGUGAGGAAGAGAGGCAGUUGAGGUAGAACCAAUAUUGGAUGCACUUCCAAAAUUAGAGUAAUAUAUUUACUGCUCGUCCGCUGGUGUUUAUCUCAAAUCAGACCUCUUACCAUACUGUGAGGCACAUGUUGUUGAUCCAAAGAGUAGGCACAAGGGAAAGCUUGACACCGAGAGCUUGCUUCAAACAAGGGGUGUAAUUACGUGAUUUUGGGGAUGAUGGGACUUAUGCUAUGAAGAAAGUAUUGAUUCAAAACAAUGAGCAGCUGGACUUGGUCAGGGAGGUGAUCCGAGUUUCCGCCCUGUUUACACAUCCCAAUCUGAUUCCCCUUCUUGAUCAUGCUAUCAUCAAAGUCAAGGCCACUCAAGAGCAAUCUUGGAAACAUGAAGCGUACCUGUUAUUCCCAGUUCAUUUGGAUGGGACUUUGCUGGACAAAUCAACCGCUAUGAAAGCUAAUAAGGCCCUUCUGGUGGAUUUAAGUUUGGUUGAAGGUAGCUAAACUGUACAAUGGCAAAUAAGAGGAGAACGGUGUAAUUAUUAUUUUUUGUUUUUUGAAACCAGGAAAACAAGUGUACUUGAAAUUUGGUUUAAUUUAGCUGUUCUUUUAAAGUUUUA